rnacentral:tRNA from 1 species
GAGGAGGUAAGUUAAAAUUUAAACUUUGUGGUUCAUGUCCAUAAAAUAUGCUUGGGCAUCUUCCUUU